AUACGGCGGAUCCGAGCGUUAUCCGGAUUUAUUGGGUUUAAAGGGUGCGCAGGCGGCCAUUUAAGUCAGCGGUUAAAUCGUGGGGCUCAACCCCAUUCUGCCGUUGAUACUGGGUGGCUUGAUUGCGGUCGAGGUUGGCGGAAUUCGUUGUGUAGCGGUGAAAUGCAUAGAUAUGACGAAGAAACCCGCUUGCGUAGGCAGCUGACCAGACCGCAAAUGACGCUCAUGCACGAAAGUGCGGGGAUCGAACAGGAUUAGAUACCCUGGUAGUCCGCACAGUAAACGAUGAAUACUUGUUUUCGGCGAUAUAAUGUCGGAGGCAAAGCGAAAGCGAUAAGUAUUCCACCUGGGGAGUACGCCGGCAACGGUGAAACUCAAAUGAAUUGGCGGGG
rnacentral:rRNA from 1 species